AAAAAAUUAUCCGUGAAAUUGAUUUUUCUAGAGAAGAGGAAGAUGAAGACGAUGAAGGAGAAGUAGAUGAAGAAGGAGAAGGAGAGGAUGCAGUAGAAGUAGAAGAGGCAGAAAAUGUUCAAGUAGCAUCAUCAGGAGAAGAGGAGACUCUGGAAAAAGCUGCAGAGCCCUCUGAGCUGGCUGCAGAGAUCCAGGCUGCCUCAGGGCCACUACUUGCUUCCUCUCCAGAUUCAGUUUCAUCCCUGCCACCUGCUGCAGAUGUCCUGGUGACACAGAUUGGAUUUGAGGCCUCUUCUCCCCAGGGACAGGCUGCAGCCUUGGGGAGUGGGGGUGGGGCUGAUUCUGAGCCAGCUCGCCACGUCUUCUCCUUCUCCUGGUUGAAUUCCCUAAAUGAAUGAUAUUUAUUCUCCUUGCUGCCCCCUGUCUGCCUGGCUGAGAAGCACAUAGGGAAACCUGGUGGAAAUUCACCGUGAUGCAUACGAAGGGGACCUCUGGACAGGAUUUCUAAAACCAAAACAAAACAAGAACAACACCCUUUAAUUCCAGAUGACUUAUCUAACUUGUUGAGAAAAUGAUUAUGCUCAGAACAAAAAUUACAGAAAAUACUCUGAUGAAGAAACUUGAUCUUAUGCUUUUAUUGGGUGAGAAACAUUCUGAAGGGUGUGUAGGUGUGGUGCGUGUACACAUCAGCUGUGAGUGGCGAG
rnacentral:lncRNA from 1 species